rnacentral:rRNA from 1 species
GACGAUCUCUGGCGGCGUGCUUAACACAUGCAAGUCGAACGGUAAGGCUCCAGCUUGCUGGGGUACACGAGUGGCGAACGGGUGAGUAACACGUGGGUGACCUGCCCUGCACUUCGGGAUAAGCCUGGGAAACUGGGUCUAAUACCGGAUAGGACCGCACCGUGAGGGUGUGGUGGAAAGUUUUUUCGGUGUGGGAUGGGCCCGCGGCCUAUCAGCUUGUUGGUGGGGUAAUGGCCUACCAAGGCGGCGACGGGUAGCCGGCCUGAGAGGGUGGACGGCCACAUUGGGACUGAGACACGGCCCAGACUCCUACGGGAGGCAGCAGUGGGGAAUAUUGCACAAUGGGCGGAAGCCUGAUGCAGCGACGCCGCGUGGGGGAUGACGGCCUUCGGGUUGUAAACUCCUUCCACCAUCGACGAAGGGUUUCUGACGGUAGAUGGAGAAGAAGCACCGGCUAACUACGUGCCAGCAGCCGCGGUAAUACGUAGGGUGCGAGCGUUGUCCGGAAUUACUGGGCGUAAAGAGCUCGUAGGUGGUUUGUCGCGUCGUCUGUGAAAUUCCGGGGCUUAACUCCGGGCGUGCAGGCGAUACGGGCAUAACUUGAGUACUGUAGGGGAGACUGGAAUUCCUGGUGUAGCGGUGAAAUGCGCAGAUAUCAGGAGGAACACCGGUGGCGAAGGCGGGUCUCUGGGCAGUAACUGACGCUGAGGAGCGAAAGCAUGGGGAGCGAACAGGAUUAGAUACCCUGGUAGUCCAUGCCGUAAACGGUGGGCGCUAGGUGUGGGUUUCCUUCCACGGGAUCCGUGCCGUAGCUAACGCAUUAAGCGCCCCGCCUGGGGAGUACGGCCGCAAGGCUAAAACUCAAAGGAAUUGACGGGGGCCCGCACAAGCGGCGGAGCAUGUGGAUUAACUCGAUGCAACGCGAAGAACCUUACCUGGGCUUGACAUAUACAGGAUCGCGCCAGAGAUGGUGUUUCCCUUGUGGCUUGUAUACAGGUGGUGCAUGGUUGUCGUCAGCUCGUGUCGUGAGAUGUUGGGUUAAGUCCCGCAACGAGCGCAACCCUUGUCUUAUGUUGCCAGCACGUUGUGGUGGGGACUCGUAAGAAACUGCCGGGGUUAACUCGGAGGAAGGUGGGGAUGACGUCAAAUCAUCAUGCCCCUUAUGUCCAGGGCUUCACACAUGCUACAAUGGUCGGUACGGUGGGUUGCCAGUCCGUGAGGGCGAGCUAAUCCCGCAAAGCCGGUCUCAGUUCGGAUCGGGGUCUGCAACUCGACCCCGUGAAGUCGGAGUCGCUAGUAAUCGCAGAUCAGCAACGCUGCGGUGAAUACGUUCCCGGGCCU